UACGGAGGGUGCAAGCGUUACCCGGAUUUAUUGGGUUUAAAGGGUCCGUAGGCGGAUCUGUAAGUCAGUGGUGAAAUCUCACAGCUUAACUGUGAAACUGCCAUUGAUACUGCAGGUCUUGAGUGUUAUUGAAGUAGCUGGAAUAAGUAGUGUAGCGGUGAAAUGCAUAGAUAUUACUUAGAACACCAAUUGCGAAGGCAGGUUACUAAGCAACAACUGACGCUGAUGGACGAAAGCGUGGGGAGCGAACAGG
rnacentral:rRNA from 1 species